UACAGAGGGGGCAAGCGUUAUUCGGAUUCAUUGGGCGUAAAGGGUGCGUAGGCGGCGCGGUAAGUCGGGUGUGAAAUCUCGGAGCUUAACUCCGAAACUGCAUUCGAUACUGCCGUGCUUGAGGACUGGAGAGGAGACUGGAAUUUACGGUGUAGCGGUGAAAUGCGUAGAUAUCGUAAGGAAGACCAGUGGCGAAGGCGGGUCUCUGGACAGUUCCUGACGCUGAGGCACGAAGGCCAGGGGAGCAAACGGG
rnacentral:rRNA from 1 species